UUUUUUUUUUUUUUUUUUUUUAAGAUAGGCCUUGGCCAUUUCCAUUCUCCACUGCCUUAAACACAGUGCUUUGCACAUAGUACACAUUCAAUAAAUCUUACUGAGUUAAGUGCUUUAAAAUAUUACAAAAUGUGAGUCUUUAGGAAAGAAAGCAUGAAGCCAGAGAUGAAACUGGUAAUGUAGUCUAAUGGCUAUGUUUCUGCCUUCUUCCCUUUCCUUUCUUCUCCCUGUCCCCAGUGAAAGAAGUCAGCCCCCUCCUUUCUUCUCUGAGUGGGGAAAGUGAGUUUGACCACUUACAAGUAGGUUUGGGGAUUGAAGGAAGGUAAGAGGAACUAAAAGGAAGUGUUUUGCUCACUGUCCUCUGUUUUGUUUGUGGUGGUUAGAAAGUGUGCUGCAGAAGGAAGGCCUGAGGACACGUGCAGUGUCCCAAGCCACAUGAUAGGUGCCACCCUACGUGCCAAGGCUGGACCAAGGUGAGCUGCUCUGUGCCGCUGGUGAGCUCUCAGGGGUGCAGGACAGUAGCCACACUUGCGCUCUCCCUGCUUCCGCCACUCUGCUCCUCCCACUUCCCCCAGGAAGUCCUCACCAGGCUGAGCCCAGAGCAGCACCGAGUGGGCAGUGGCUGCAGGUCCAGCCACUCUGCCCGUUGUUGGCCUUUGGCCUGGCCCUCACACCACAGGCACAGCUGUGUCAGCUCCCAGCAGGUGUGCUGUAUCAACUCCAUUGUGACUAAACAACCAGAAAAUGUAACUGAUGACAUUUGUCAGAAGGAGAUCAUCUCUAAGACAAACUUGGCUGCCACUGGGGACUAAAAACAGAGACUUUUGUUCAAGGAUCUUUAUCAUAUAACAGCAAAAUACAUGAACUUAUUUUCCAACAAGAAGAAAACAAUUGAACAAUUAAUGUUAUAGUACUUAUAUAUCAAUAUAAUGCGACCAAACACUUUUUUGGAGAAUUUUUAAUGAUUUGGAAUAAUACUCAUGACAUAGUAUUUAUUUUUUUAAGGCAGGGUACAAAGCAAUAUAAACAGGACAAUUCCAAAUUUGUUAAAAAGCAGAAUAAAUCAGAAAAACAGAAUGAGAGAGACUCCAGAAUAUUAGUAGAACUUAUCUUUGAUUUAUGCAUUUUUAAUUUUUUUCUGUCAUAUGUUAUACAAUUUUCAGAUUUCCUAUAUUGAACACUAUUACUCUUAUAAUAAUGACAACAUAGGUGAUUACAAGAAGGUAGUGGAAGUUAUUGAGAUUAAUGAUUUGUAAUCCAUCCUUGUCACAUAGAAGAUAUAGCAUAUAGCUCUUGGCUUCUCUGGUUAGAGUUGAAGGACCUUGGGAAAGACUCUUGACAACUCUGACCCUCAGUUUUGCAUCCUUAAACUGGAAAUUGAAUGAGAUGAUAGAGGGAGCUGGACUUCAUGCACUUGCUACAAUGACUGAGAUGAUGUAUGUAAAAUUUUGCUUGGCCCAGUACUUCAUAAAGAGGAAACAUUCCAUCAACUACAAUUAUCAUUAAAGAGCAGAAUAGAUGAGUAGUUACCUAUUUCCAGCCCUGGCUUCUUUAAGCUUUUCUUCCUCCCCUCCUUCCUUCCUUUAGGUUAAAAAAAAAAAAAAAAUAGCUGAUAUUUGGCAAUUUCAUACAAUUUGACCUUACUUAUUGUUUCAACCCAUCUCAAAAAUUUGAAGCAAGGAAGUGAACUCCAGAUCCCAAUGGGAAAUGGAUUCUCAAUGACAAAAAGACCAAGGAAGGAUAGUGUGAUCCUUUGGAGCAGGAGAAAAGGACAGUGCACUUGACUGUCAAAGACAGAGUGAUUCUGGACCUGGUGUCUGUACCAAGGAGGGUUGGCCAGUACAUGGGCUUUCGGUUUUGGUACAUCCCAGAGAGGCCCAAGGAAAAGCCCAGGUAUCAGAUCUGAGCAGGAGUGGGGGGGGAUCUCUUUCUUGGUUGGGCCAUCUCACUGCUGAGACCUGGAGGGCAAGAGGAAAGGAAAUGAAUGUGAGCUGUAAUGUCAGGGAUUCAGGUAAAUGUUUCAUUUGAAACUUUAAAAUUGUGUUCUGGGCAGACAGAAAUUCCAGUGGUAAAAAUAGUAUCAGCAGAAUCCCUUCAGAAUAAAACCGAAAAGGAAGCUCUUCUAUGAAUAUCUGUGCAAAGGCCACCUGAGCAAGUUCUGAUCAUGACCAUGGCUGUGUUCACCAAGUGGACGUAACUCUCCCGUUGCCCUCACAGUUCCCGUCCAUGUGGCCCAAAGCUCCAGAGACUGUUUCUCAUACAUGCCCCACUGAGGGAAAUCCCUCAAGAAUUUUCUAAAAAGCAGGGUUUUGGAGUGGCUCAAAAUAUAAACAAGCAAUACCAAAUGUUUUUAAAAUCUAAAAUCGAGGCUAAAUAUUGCUUUAUUAAGUUUUUAUGGUGUAAGUCUGAGCAAGGUGCCAUGCUUUGUGUAAGUCUUAAACACUCUUGGUGAGCUCGGUGCUUCCAUUAUUUCCAUUUUAGAAACGAAUGGAAACACAAGGUAGUUUUGUUUUGUUUUGUUUUUUUCUCUUUUGGCCUGCAGAAGCAUAUGGAGUUCCCAGACCAAAGAUCAAAUCCAAGCCGAAAUUGCAACCUAUACCACAGCUGCAGCAAUGCCUGAUUCUUAACCCACUGUGCCUAUCUGGAAUUAAACCUGAGUCACAGCGCUCCCAAGACACCACUGAUGUUCCUUUGUGCCACAUCAGGAACUCCAAUAGUUUUGUUUUUUCACUCCUUUGUCUCAGUACCUACAAUGGUCAGCUGGCAUUUAGUAGGUGCUCACUGAGCAACUAUUUGUGGAAUCGAUGAAUGAAGUUAAGCGAUAUGCAUAAGCCCCACAGCUGGUAAGGGGUGGAGCUAGGGUCACACCCAGCCUGGCCCGACUCCAGAGACUGAGUUCUCAACUUCUGUCUCUGUUUACCUCUUUUCCACUGACAGCUUAAGUCUGGGAAAGAAGACAAGGGCCUGCUGGUGGAGGUACUUCCUUGCAUGGCUUUUACAGCUGGCAUGUCCUUGGGAAUGACUAGACACACAGUGAUUUCUCCAGGGUCAGUGUUUAGACAUCAUUAAUGAUCGAGGGCUCCUCUAGUUUGGGAAUAUUUUUACAUACAGAUGCAAAAGCCAAAGGCUUUUAUAUAAUUCUCCAGGCUUUCUGUAAUGUAAAAUGAUAAAUUAGAGGCUACUUACCCAAAAUCUCUAGAUUCAGGCAAGUGUAUUCCUAGUAUCACUUAGCAAUUUCUUGGGAGCUUUAAGAGUCUCUUGAAGACAGGCAGUUGAAGAAGUUCUCCCAAAGAAAUGAACACAAUUAGGGCUUGGAAGGUAAAUGCAAUUCCUACACCUACGGAUUGCUCUGUGUGAUUAGUAUCGGGCACCCUGUAUUGGUUAAAAAUGUUCAUUAUCUGGAAAAUAACUUAAAAAUGCAGGAUGGACGACUUCAACUUAGAUAAUUGUUGGAUGGAGAUGGAGUGCUCUUCGAAUGGGUCUGCAUGGGGUGGGGUGGGGAGGAGCAUCCUCCCGUAAGUGCUGGAAAGGCUUUCAGAACCCACAGGCAGCAAAAACCUAAGAGGAGGAAGCAUGACAUCUGGAAUCCAUAGUCUUGAGCUUCAGCUCUGGCUCCGUCACUUACUAACUAGGUGGCCUUAGGCAAAAAUCACUUUGUGUCUCUGCAGUCAGUUUUGUCAUCUGUAAAAGUGGCAAUGGCCAUGCCUAACUUUUAGUUUGUAAGGAUCCAAUGAGAUGACUGAGAAUGCCUUGUAAAUGCUCUGUAAGUCUCAGAAUCAUCAUCAUUAUGAUGAUCAGCAUUACUAAACCAAGUUUAAAAGGAUUCAAAGAGGCACAAGAUAUGGUCUUUCCAACCAGUUUUAUAGACUCUGAAGUUAAUAAAAUAUUGAGGGUCUCUUUGAGGAAGAGAAUACCAAAUUAUAGGAAUUCCCUGGUGGCCUAGCAGUUAAGCAUCUGGCAUUGUCACUGCUGU
rnacentral:lncRNA from 1 species